rnacentral:rRNA from 1 species
CCUGGUUGAUCCUACCAGUAGUCAUAUGCUUGUCUCAAAGAUUAAGCCAUGCAUGUCUAAGUAUGAACUAAUUCAGACUAUGAAACUGCGAAUGGCUGAUUAAAUCAGUUAUAGUUUUUUUGAUGGUACCAUACUACUCGGAUAACCAUAGUAAUUCUAGAGCUAAUACGUGCACCAAGUCCUGACUCUUUGGAAUGGAUGCAUUUUUUAGAUCAAAGGCUAGCGCGGGCUUGCCCGCUUCUGCGGUGAAUCAUGAUAACUCAACGGAUCGCACAGCCCUUGUGCUGGCGAUGCUUCAUUCAAAUUUUUGCCCUAUCAACUUUCAAUGGUAGGAUAGAGGCCUACCAUGGUGGCAAUGGGUGACGGAGAAUUAGGGUUCGAUUCCGGAGAGGGAGCCUGAGAAACGGCUACCACAUCCAAGGAAGGCAGCAGGCACGCAAAUUACCCAAUCCUGACAUGGGGAGGUAGUGACAAUAAAUAACAAUACUGGGCUCGUCAAGUCUGGUAAUUGGAAUGAGUACAAUCUAAAUCCCUUAAUCAUGAUCCAUUGGAGGGCAAAUCUAGUGCCGACAGCCGUGGUAAUUCCAGCUCCAAUAGCCUAUAUUUAAGUUGUUGCAGUUAAAAAGCUCGUAGUUGGAUCAUGGGUCGUAAAGGUUGGUCCGCCUACUCGGUGUACACCUGUCCUUCCAUCCCUUUUGUCAACGGCGUGCUCCUGGCCUUAAUUGGCUGGGUCGUGGCUCUAGCACUAUUACUUUGAAAAAAUUAGAGUGCUCAAAUCAAGCUUAUGCUCUGAAUACAUUAGCAUGGAAUAACGUGAUAGGAGUCUAGUCCUAUCUCGAGUCUGGUAAUUGGAAUGAGUACAAUCUAAAUCCCUUAAUGAGGAUCCAUUGGAGGGCAAGUCUAGUGCCAGCAGCCGUGGUAAUUCCAGCUCCAAUAGUGUAUAUUUAAGUUGUUUUAGUUAAAAAGCUCGUAGUUGGAUCUUGGGUCGUAAAGGUCGGUCCGCCUACUCGGUGUACACCUGCCCUUCCAUCCCUUUUGUCAGCGGCGUGCUCCUGGCAUUAAUUGGGUGGGUUGCGGCUCUGGCACUGUUACUUUGAAAACAUUAGAGUGCUCAAAGCAAGCUUAUGCUCUGAAUACAUUAGCAUGGAAUAACGUGAUAGGAGUCUAGUCCUAUUGUGUUGGCCUUUGGGACCGGAGUAAUGAUUAAUAGGGACUGUCGGGGGCAUUCGUAUUUCAUUGUCAGAGGUGAAAUUCUUGGAUUUAUGAAAGAUGGACCACUGUGAAAGCAUUUGCCAAGGAUGUUUUCAUUAAUCAAGAAUGAAAGUUGGGGGCUCAAAGACGAUUAGAUACCGUCCUAGUCUCAACCAUAAACGAUGCCAACCAGGGAUCGGUGGAUGUUACUCUAAGAACUCUGCCAGCACCUUCUGAGAAAUAAAAGUGUUUGGGUUCUGGGGGGAUUAUCGUCACAAGGCUGAAACUUAAAGGAAUUGAUGGAAGGGCACCACCAGGAGUGGAGCCUAUGGCUUAAUUUGACUCAACACGGGGAAACUUACCAGGUCCAAACAUAGUAAGGAUUGAUAGAUUGAGAGUUGUUUAUUGAUUCUAUGGGUGGUUAUGCAUGGCCGUUCUUAGUUGAUGGAGCGAUUUGUCUGGUUAAUUCCGAUAACGAACGAGACCUUAGCUAGAUAACUAGCUACGCGGAGGUUCCCCUUCGCGGCCAGCUUUUUAGAGGGACUAUGGCCAUUUAGGCCAUGGAAGUUUGAGGCAAUAACAGGUCUGUGAUGCCCUUAGAUGUUCUAGGAAAUGUGCGCUACACUAAUGCAACCAACGAGAUUUUCUUCCUAGUUCAAGAGGUUUGGGAUAUCUUCUCAAAUUGCAUCAUGAUGGGGAUAGACCAUUGCAAUUAUUGGUCUUCAACGAGGAAUUCAUAGUAAGUGUGUGUCAUCAACUUGUGUUGACUACAUCCCUGCCCUUUGUACACACUGCCCGUCGCUCCUGCCGAUUGAAUGAUCUGGUGAAGUGUUCAGAUUGCGUCAACGAUGGUGGUCCGCCGCUGUCGACGUUGUGAGAAGUUCAUUGAACCUUAUCAUUUAGAGGAAGGAGAAGUCGUAACAAGGUUAUCGUAGGUGAACCUGUGGUAG